UAGGGAAUCUUCGGCAAUGGACGAAAGUCUGACCGAGCAACGCCGCGUGAGUGAAGAAGGUUUUCGGAUCGUAAAACUCUGUUGUUAGAGAAGAACAAGGACGUUAGUAACUGAACGUCCCCUGACGGUAUCUAACCAGAAAGCCACGGCUAACUACGUGCCAGCAGCCGCGGUAAUACGUAGGUGGCAAGCGUUGUCCGGAUUUAUUGGGCGUAAAGCGAGCGCAGGCGGUUUCUUAAGUCUGAUGUGAAAGCCCCCGGCUCAACCGGGGAGGGUCAUUGGAAACUGGGGGACUUGAGUGCAGAAGAGGGGAGUGGAAUUCCAUGUGUAGAGGUGAAAUGCGUAGAUGUGUGGAGGAACACCAGUGGCGAAGGCGGCUCUCUGGUCUGUAACUGACGCUGAGGCUCGAAGGCGUGGGGAGCAAACAGG
rnacentral:rRNA from 1 species